UUGAAUAAACUUGCACAGGCUGUUGCUGGCCUUCUCUUGGGGGGGCAUGUGCACGCUUGUCAUCUUUAUUUCUCCAACUGUGCACAUAUUGUAGACCUGGAGUUCUUGUUGACUUGUUUCGAGUUGGGACUGCUGUGAAGUCAGCUUUGCCUUAUGUUUCCAGGUCUAUGUCAUUUUCACAACCUCUUGAUGUUGAAUGUACCUAUAAAGUUGAAUAAUA
rnacentral:misc_RNA from 1 species